GUGACAAAUGCAAAUUUCCAACGAUCAUAUUCCAACAAAUAUAU
rnacentral:sRNA from 1 species